UUGAACGACACGUUCUAUUGGGUUGGCAACCGAGUGAGUGACAUUAGAUGGUAAUGACAAAAUCUGUAAUCACUUGGUUGCCAACACAAUAUAAACCGUGCCGCGGUAAAAUCGUGCAACUGUGAUUAACAGGCCCUUUGGCCGCAUACAGGCGAGCGUCGCUCCUUUGACUUCUUCGGACCCCUUUCUGUAACGACCGUCACCUCCGCGUACAGUAGCUCCAGGAAGUUUUCCAAUGCUUUCCCAACCACACCACGGAACAUUAUUUCUAUUCUUUUUUAUUUUUUAUUUUUACGUUUGGUAAAUCUGUCUAAUUUUAUUACUAAAUAAUUAUUAAAUGACACGUGGAUGGCUACACUCAGCGGCAAAGCAUCUUCCAGUUUGGGGUUAGGUUGGAAUUACAUUUCGUCAACGUUGUCGUAACGAGACUGUCGCGAUUAUCGUAGUAAGUUUGCAAUCAAUUCAUAGAAGUUGCACGAGUAUUUUCGCAGCGAUUUUAACCUACAAUUAGCGUUUUGACGAUGGUCUCACUACUAUAACGCGGUAGAAACUUCCAAAACUGUUGGAACGAUCACUUUUCUGACCCAAAAUUUCAAUUUAUUCGAGCACACGUUGACAACAAUUGUCAGAUUCCUUGAACAUCUAUGGGUUUCGUACCAUAAUUUUCGGUAAUUCGUAUAGUUUGUUCGACAGGGAUUGCAUGGAAUUUUUUUUUGGAACCAUUUUUCGAAUGCCACUAAUGCUUCAACACGAGAACGCAUCUCACGUUCGUUAGAACGCUAUUAGCUUUGAACUAGGCUGCUCUUAUUACAACGAGAUUUCGAUGGAUCGAACAAAGCGAAGAAUACACAAGAACAUGGCGAACGAUCGACUGUACGCAAAUACUUCGACGUUCGCGUUGCGUAAUAUCGUCGAUAAAUAUUUUCCAAUUUCGAUGUAUCAUUUUUAAAUUCGUUUCAAAUUUUAGGUUGAAUUUUAAAGUUGCGGAUAACUUGGCUCGUCCGGGUGCUGAACGAGCUUGCGAAAUGUUCGUAAUUUAAUGGAAAAACGAGAAUCUAAUGGUCAGCUUUGGGGUUAAGAAACAGGAACAAUGUUUACCCGGUUUUAUUCGCGUGGGUGAGCUUUCCCUGAACUCGAGUGCACGUGUGCACAGCGUUCACAUGUUGCUGUCGAAAUACGAGCGACUGUAAAUUUCAAUCUGCAUACUGUACUAGUGCUUUAACAGCAUUAACGCUAAGAAUACGAUCAGUGUCACAAUAACGCGCAGCCAUUGUUUCGUUCUCUGGUUUCCUUCGCCACGAUCGCGUUUACCGUUCCUUGACUUUGAACCUCUAUCUCUUGGAACACACUUUUUAACAUUUUUCUUCUUCUUUCGAAAAACUUUUUAAAAAUUUCUAACAUUCUUUCGUGUUCCGUUCUCUUCGAUUUCUAUAUUUUCUUCUAAAUUCACGAAGAUAGUCGCGUAUACCGUAGAGAAGCUAUCUUUGUAGAAAGAAACGAGAGGAAAGUUUGGAAAAUAUCGUGGAGAAGACUGCGGAUUUUUAUACGUUUUUAGGAACCUUCAAAAUUGCAUCGAGUCUACGUACGAAGAAACAUAGAAAAUAUUCGAAAUGUGGUAACUUAGUUGCCAAUCCAAUGAAACAGACAAACUGGAAGACGCUUUCCCGCUGAGCGUAGCCAUCCACGUGCCAUUUAAUAAUUAUUUAGUAACAAAAUUAGACAAAUUUACCAAACGUCCAGCUGGACAAAUCGCAAAGUACAAAUUAAAAAUAAAAAAGAAUAGAAAUAAUGUUCCGUGGUGUGGUCAGAAAAGCGUUGGAAAACUUCCUGCAGCCACUGUACGCGGAGGCGACGAUCGUCACAGAAAGGGGCCCGAAGAAGUCAAAGGAGCGACGCUCCUGGGCCUGUUAAUCGCAGUUGCACGAUUUUACCGCGACACGGUUUAUAUCGUGUUGGCAACCAAUUGCCAACCCAAUACUUCGUGACACGUCGAUAGUGGCAAGAGGAGCUAAAGCGUUGGCUGUCGUCCAGAACGCAGCAGUCCAUCACUUCCAUUCACGUUACGCA